GCUCUAGUAGCUCAGAACC
rnacentral:tRNA from 1 species